UGAAUAUAUAGAAUGAUAUACAUAUAUAUAUAUAACAUAUAUGAUCCAUUGUUAUAUCUAAAAAUUUUAAAAUUUUAUUCACAAAUUUGAUUCUUUAGUUCCCAGUUAUUGACAUAUUGUUGUUUUACACUAUAUUUUAUUUAAUUUUUAGAUUUUAAUUUACUUUUAAAAGAAUUUAUGAAUUUAAAUGAAUAUCUUAUUAAAAUAAAUAUCUUGCUGAAUAUACGGACCUAUCUGGCAUAGUGAUGAAGUAAAUCAAAUAAUAAAAAUGUAGAUCUGGACAAAGCGGAAAGAAUCACAAAUACUUUCAAAAUUUAGUAUAUAUGCUCCUUGCCCAUCCUUAACUCAAGCAGAAAAUAUUUUCUUGCAGUUGUGGAGCAGUAUCGUUUUUAAGUUUUUUCUUAGACUGUGGACCUUUGUUUUUCUUUCAGUCCCAUACUUUCAUUUUUCUAACAUUUCCUAUCUUUUUCCUUUUUUUUUUCUGUAUAAUAAUUCAUUUUACAUUUAAGUUAAAAGUAUUCCACUACUUUAUUCUAUAUUAGUAUUUUAUUUAUUUUCUUAUGUCGAAAUCAUAUGAAAAUAUCUAUUUAUAGAGUAUAAAAUGAUUAAUUUGAUAUAUUAAGGAUAUAAAAAUAAAUUAAUUUACUAUAAAUAAUUAUCUUAAAUAAUUAUAAUGUGUUAUAAGAUCCCGAAGUUAUAAUAGUCAAUAACAACAUAAAUAUGGUUUUGGUGGUCUCUCUUUUCAUUCAAUACAAUAUGUUGAAACACUUUACUCCAUUAAAUUUCUAAAUAAUAUAUUACUAUAUCUUAAUGAUUUUCAAGAAUCUAUUCAAUAUUACUUGAUAUUUUUUUUCCAGAUUUUACUCAUGGAUGAUUUAUUAUGUCCAUAUCGGUUUUUAAUUUAAUUAAUUUGUAGAUAUCUUAUAUGACUUGUUCUGUUCAAAGAGUCUAAUUAAUUACUAGUUGAUCUUUUAUUUACAUUUAUUACAACUUAUUAUUGCUAAAAUGCAUUUAUUACAUUUUUUGAUACCAUAAAUAUAUAUAUACGAUGUUCACAAGUGCAAUACAAUUACAUCUAUUCAUUUCUCUUGUAUCACACAAAAUGGCUAAAAACACAACUUUUGCUAUCUUUAUGAUCGUUCUUGUUCUAGGGAUGGUGAUGAAGGAGACACAAGGACAACAAUUGUGUCAUGAACGUUUUAUAGGAGCAACCCCAUGUGUACCUCCACAGUGUGCCGAACAAUGUACUGCAAAGUGGGGAGAGAGAGCGGGAAGAGGGACAUGUCUAGGAGGGCCAGGACCCGCCAAUACCUGCCUCUGCACUUUUAAAUGCCAAAUUUGAUUCUUUUUUGUUACUAUCAUCAGCUAUAUUGUAAUAAAAUAAUGGGUUGAAAAAAAAAAGAAUAUUUAAAUCUUUUUUAGUUUAA